CAUAAAGUAGAAAGCACUACUAACCAUCCAAUCAGUGUAGUGUUUCCUACUUUAUGGA
rnacentral:pre_miRNA from 1 species